rnacentral:rRNA from 1 species
CAUUAUGAGAGUUUGAUCCUGGCUCAGGACGAACGCUGGCGGCGUGCCUAAUACAUGCAAGUCGAACGCUUUUUCUUUCACCGGAGCUUGCUCCACCGAAAGAAAAAGAGUGGCGAACGGGUGAGUAACACGUGGGUAACCUGCCCAUCAGAAGGGGAUAACACUUGGAAACAGGUGCUAAUACCGUAUAACACUAUUUUCCGCAUGGAAGAAAGUUGAAAGGCGCUUUUGCGUCACUGAUGGAUGGACCCGCGGUGCAUUAGCUAGUUGGUGAGGUAACGGCUCACCAAGGCAACGAUGCAUAGCCGACCUGAGAGGGUGAUCGGCCACACUGGGACUGAGACACGGCCCAGACUCCUACGGGAGGCAGCAGUAGGGAAUCUUCGGCAAUGGACGAAAGUCUGACCGAGCAACGCCGCGUGAGUGAAGAAGGUU